UCCACGGUGUGUGGUCGCGGCCCCCGGUACCCCGGGCGGUAGAGGUAACACUUUCACGCGCCACAUGCCUUAAUCCUUUUUUUACGAGCACCUUUCGUUCUCCUUCGGUGGGGCAACCUGCCGCUGGAACUUAUCAAAAACCUUUUUUUGCAUCUAGCAUUACCUGUUCUGAUACAAACAAUCGUUACAACUUUCAACAAUGGAUCUCUUGGCUCUGGCAUCGAUGAAGAACGCAGCGAAAUGCGAUAAGUAGUGUGAAUUGCAGAAUUCAGUGAAUCAUCGAAUCUUUGAACGCACAUUGCGCCCCUCGGUAUUCCGUGGGGCAUGCCUGUUCGAGCGUCAUCUACACCCUCAAGCUCUGCUUGGUGUUGGGCGUCUGUCCCGCCUCUGCGCGCGGACUCGCCCCAAAUUCAUUGGCAGCGGUCCUUGCCCCCUCUCGCGCAGCACAUUGCGCUUCUCGAGGGGCGCGGCCCGCGUCCACGAAGCAAACAUUACCGUCUUUGACCUCGGAUCAGGUAGGGAUACCCGCUGAACUUAAGCAUAUCAA
rnacentral:rRNA from 1 species